ACACAUGCAAGUCGAGCGGUAGAAACUUUUAGCUUGCUAAAAGUUUUGAGAGCGGCGAACGGGUGAGUAACACGUUGGAAUCUGCCCCCAAGUCAGGGAUAGCCAUUCGAAAGGAUGAUUAAUACCGGAUAGUCUCUACGGAGUAAAAAUUUAUUGCUUGGGGAGGAGCCUGCGUUCUAUCAGUUUGUUGGUGAGGUAAAAGCUCACCAAGGCUAUGACGGAUAGCUGGUCUGAGAGGGUGAUCAGCCACACUGGAACUGAGACACGGUCCAU
rnacentral:rRNA from 1 species